ensembl:lncRNA
CCAGGCCGGUUGAGACCACCAACUCAUCAACUGGGUCUGUGCAGAUGUCCGAUAGGCGACCUUUUGACGUCAAGAGGCUAAAAACUCCACCCUCAGAUCAUGCUAAUGCCGCCAUUUUGUGAACAUGGGUCCUGUGAAGAGACAUGGAGUCUGACUACGCUUGCGCACAUCAUCAGUUACCUCACCCCUCCCCACCUCCAAUCACCUCUCUCCACAGUUCAGACCACCUUGCCCCCAUCCCGUAAAUAUCCCUGAGUCCCUAUUUUCGGGGAAGCAAAUUUGAGGCUCAUGCUCUCGCUUCUUCGCAUGGCUGCCUUGAAAGAUUGUUGCCAGAAGUCCAGAUUUCAUAUCGUUUCUGCAUCACGACUCAGAUACAAAUAGAAGGAUCUCGAGGAAGGACACUGGCCUGAUUUGGGUCACUUGCCAAGCCUUGCA